UUCGCCCUUAGAGUUUGAUCCUGGCUCAGGAUGAACGCUGGCGGCGUGCCUAACACAUGCAAGUCGAACGAAGCGCUGGGAGCGGAACAUUUCGGUGGGAAGCAUCCAAUGACUGAGUGGCGGACGGGUGAGUAACGCGUGGGUAACCUGCCUCAUACAGGGGGAUAACAGCCAGAAAUGACUGCUAAUACCGCAUAAGCGCACGGAACCGCAUGGUUUUGUGUGAAAAACUCCGGUGGUAUGAGAUGGACCCGCGUCUGAUUAGCUAGUUGGCGGGGUAACGGCCCACCAAGGCAGCGAUCAGUAGCCGGCCUGAGAGGGUGGACGGCCACAUUGGGACUGAGACACGGCCCAAACUCCUACGGGAGGCAGCAGUGGGGGAUAUUGCACAAUGGGGGGAACCCUGAUGCAGCGACGCCGCGUGAAGGAAGAAGUAUCUCGGUAUGUAAAGCUCUAUCAGCAGGGAAGAAAAUGACGGUACCUGACUAAGAAGCCCCGGCUAACUACGUGCCAGCAGCCGCGGUAAUACGUAGGGGGCAAGCGUUAUCCGGAUUUACUGGGUGUAAAGGGAGCGUAGGCGGCAGGGCAAGCCUGAUGUGAAAGCCCGGGGCUCAACCCCGGGACUGCAUUGGGAACUGCCCCGCUCGAGUGCCGGAGGGGCAGGCGGAAUUCCUAGUGUAGCGGUGAAAUGCGUAGAUAUUAGGAGGAACACCAGUGGCGAAGGCGGUCUGCUGGACGACAACUGACGGUGAGGCGCGAAAGCGUGGGGAGCAAACAGGAUUAGAUACCCUGGUAGUCCACGCUGUAAACGAUGGAUACUAGGUGUGCGGGGACUGACCCCCUGCGUGCCGCAGCUAACGCAAUAAGUAUCCCACCUGGGGAGUACGAUCGCAAGGUUGAAACUCAAAGGAAUUGACGGGGGCCCGCACAAGCGGUGGAUUAUGUGGUUUAAUUCGAUGCAACGCGAAGAACCUUACCAGGGCUUGACAUCCUGCUAACGAGGUAGAGAUACGUCAGGUGCCCUUCGGGGAAAGCAGAGACAGGUGGUGCAUGGUUGUCGUCAGCUCGUGUCGUGAGAUGUUGGGUUAAGUCCCGCAACGAGCGCAACCCUUAUUGUUAGUUGCUACGCAAGAGCACUCUAGCGAGACUGCCGUUGACAAAACGGAGGAAGGUGGGGAGGACGUCAAAUCAUCAUGCCCCUUAUGUCCUGGGCUACACACGUAAUACAAUGGCGGUCAACAGAGGGAUGCAAAACCGUGAGGUGGAGCGAACCCCUAAAAGCCGUCCCAGUUCAGAUCGCAGUCUGCAACCCGACUGCGUGAAGUCGGAAUCGCUAGUAAUCGCGGAUCAGCAUGCCGCGGCGAAUACGUUCCCGGGCCUUGCACUCACCGCCCGUCA
rnacentral:rRNA from 1 species